AGGACUGUCAAACCUGAGAAUG
rnacentral:miRNA from 1 species